CCCAAAACGCCGUCCAUCAAGUCGAAGCUGUCUCCUGAAAUACGAAGAACGAUUCAAUAUAGGUUGUCGUCAACGAAAGUUACCUUCCUGCACUAAGAAUUCCGGUAUAUUCCACCGUGUAGACGAUUGGUGGCUGAGCUGAGCUGGUUCAUAUUCGACGCCAGCGUCUGCGAGGUUCUGCAAAUUGCCGUACUGCAAUUGAAGUCGAUCCGCCUGCUUCGCAUCCCGCCAAGCCACCAGGUAUGCAUGCGAGCUAGGUCCUUGACUGUAGGUGCCUAUCCGCGUCCUGGUGGUGAUGGCACUCGCGCAACACAGAACCACCACCAGCAAAAGAAGAUGCACUGCCCCGUCGAACAUCUUUGCAGCGGCUGCCAAUUUCGCGCGUUAACUUCCCACCGCAGUAUGUGAUUCCACUAUUGGCAUGUCUCUCCGCAGGAGAUAUAUAUAUAUUGGGAUUGGUAAUGAAGAGGAGUGCGUGUGGUCCCGAGAACUGGACAAUCCGAACUGAGUUUUUGUUCUUCAGUCAAAGUUUAAAAGUAGAGCAGACUAUUGGAGAGCGGGAAUUGCGGUUCGGUUGCUU